CACCUCUCGUUGCUACUACCAAUUGAAUGGUUUAUUAAGGUCAUUGGAUUGUUGUCGUUGUAGUGGCUUUACUGCUCGACUGAUGCUGAGAAGAUGAACUAAUUUGAUUAUUUAGAGAAAGUAAGAGUCGUAACGAGGUUCCCGUAGGUGAACCUGCAGAAG
rnacentral:ncRNA from 1 species